ACUUCUAUGAAAUUGUAAGAGAAUAUUUGUGUGCCAGAUUUAGUCGUUUGGCGCAAAGCAGAAGUUGGUUAGACAAAAUGUAGGUUCUUUUCCAAAUAAAAGACAAAGACUAGCAGUAUUACUAUUACUCUACUUCCACUGUUUGUUUCACAAAUCUAUUUUCACUUUCGUCUGAGCGCACGAGAUGGAUUCUCCAGCGGACAGACUUUGUUGUCAAGACAACAGAUAGAGCCCCUGGAUUGGCCGGGUGGGGGUAGGACACCAAUGAAAUACAGCAGCGGUUCUCAGCUAGUGGGUCGUGACCCAAAAAUGGGUGACAGAUGAACGAAGGUCUUUAGGGUGUGAAACGACAUGAGGAAAACCACUGACUUCAGGCAAAGGUGGCACUCACCUCCAGAGGCAUGGCACUUUUGGCCAGCAUGCGCUCAGUAUCCAGGAUCUUAAUGGAGGCGUCGGCGGAGCCCGUUGCAAUGAGCUGGCCAUCGCGGCUGUAG